UUGAAUCCUCAGGAUGUCGCUGGCUUCUCGCAAGGGAAGCAUGUGCACUCCGCCUUUCAAUCCACCUGUGCACUUAUUGUAGGCUGAAGAAGGGGAAACCUUUCCGAACCUAUGCUUUUUACACACACUUUAAAGUACCAGAAUGUAACACAGUAGGCCUUCAGGUCGAAAUAACAAUA
rnacentral:misc_RNA from 1 species